GUGAUCAUAAUUUCGACCUAAAACCUUGGACUGUGACUCCAAAAACGAGAACUGCAACACGUCUCUGGUCACC
rnacentral:tRNA from 1 species